UAUCCAGACUCCUACGGGAGGCAGCAGUCGGGAAUAUUGCGCAAUGGAGGAAACUCUGACGCAGUGACGCCGCGUAUAGGAAGAAGGUUUUCGGAUUGUAAACUAUUGUCGUGAGGGAAGAAAUUGACAGUACCUCAGGAGGAAGCUCCGGCUAACUAUGUGCCAGCAGCCGCGGUAAUACGGAGGAUGCGAGCGUUAUCCGGAUUUAUUGGGUUUAAAGGGUGCGCAGGCGGAUUUUUAAGUCAGCGGUCAAAUCGUGGGGCUCAACCCCAUCCAGCCGUUGAAACUGGGGAUCUAGAGUGUGCGAGAGGUAUGCGGAAUGCGUGGUGUAGCGGUGAAAUGCAUAGAUAUCACGCAGAACCCCGAUUGCGAAGGCAGCAUACCGGUGCACAACUGACGCUCAGGCACGAAAGCGUGGGUAUCGAACAGGAUUAGAUACCCUUGUAGA
rnacentral:rRNA from 1 species